CUGAGAGAUUUUUAAAAUUCUUAUCCCUGAGAGAUUUUUAAAAUUCUUAUUUUAAAAAGCCGAAGGCUUACCGCCUUUUAAGGGUGAGAGAUUUGAAGAAACAAAAGUGCAGACAGCGCUCCAAAUACUAUUAACCCUGAGAGGUCCCUGGGGAAUUGGGCGGGGGGAGACGAAAACGGUUUUCGGGACUUUGACGCUCUCGUGAUUCACCGAUCACGACGCGACCUAUCCCAUUCGACGGGGAAUAUGGUUUUACAUAUAUAUUGACUAAUUUUUAGAACUAUCUAUAUAUUUAAGGGGAAAUUGGGAGCAAAAAGGGGGAAAAAGAGGGGAAACUUCAAAAAUACAUUGCACAUACGAUUCCACACAAUUAAAGGGUCUAAUCAGUUCUAAAGGGAAGAAGAACUUUCCAUUUAAACGAAAAGACUAAAUUUGCGAGGGCUUCUUUAAGGUUCACGAGAUAUCUGUAAAAGAAAAAGACACCCAGAUUGAGUUUAGUUGAUUGUUUGUUGACUAGCAGACGACGAUAACUUUUAUCGGUGUGGCGUGUGGGUACUGGCUACUGGGGCGGCUGGGUAUUCAUUGGAAUUCAUCGAUCUAAUGAUUCUAAUAAGAAAAAAAAACCAUGCCUCCAGUGUCACAACUGAUGAUUCCUUUACCCAUCAAAUGCCAGAUUGGCAGAUAAUUCAAUAUGUGGGUGCUGAAUGAACUGGUAAACAUAAAAAAUGGAAUUGACAAUAGAUUACAUUUAUCAUCAGACAUCUCUCCCUUUCUUAUGUCUUGAAGAUGACGACAAGUUGCUAGUUGAUUUACAUGUCACCCUUACUGAUAUCCUAGCACACCAUACUUUAUUCGGCAUACAAAAAAAGCUUUCCCUUCUGGGUUACCCUAAUUUAAAAGGCCUUGAUGAUGUAAUGGUGCUAUGCCAAAAUUUUAUCAACGUAGAGAAAUUAAAGCUGCAGCUGUGGGAAAUGGAAUUGACAAUUACAUUUCACAGACACAUUUCAGUUUCAGAAAGUGGAGUUUUGUCUUGAAGAUGACAAAAGUUGCCCGUUGAUUUACAUGUCACCUUAAGUGAUAUCAUAGCAGGAGCUUGUCAUUUAGAGAGUUCGUUACCAUACUUUAUUUGACAUGAUUGUUUUAUAGUUAUUUCAUUUUGGUUUUUUUUAGGCGAAAAUUUUGUCUUGAAGAUGACAAGUUGCCAGUCGAUUUACAUAACAACCUAAGUGACAUCAUAACAGGAACUUUUCAUUUUGGUUUUUUUUAUAUUUUUAGGUACUCUAAAGCAAGAGCCUUGACAUGCAAAACUAUAUUUCAUUCUGGCCCAACAAUAAAUAGUGGGAAAACUUAUCAUGUUCUUGAAAGGUUUUUAAAUUCAAAUCAGGAGUGUAUUGUAGUCCAUAAAUUUUUUAAUUCAAAAUCAGGAGCUUAUUGUGGUCCCUUAAAAUUUUUUACAUCUGAAGUGUAUUGCAAAUGCAAUCAGCGUGAUUGUCCAUGUGAUUUAGUAACUGGGGAAGACAGAAAUUUUGCCAGUGAUAUUGAUAAAUCCCCUUGUUCCCAUGUAUCAUGCACUGUUGAAAUGAUCUAAGUGAACACUCCAUAAGAAAUAUGUAUUAAUUGCCAAUGUUAUUAAAUUAUUUAUUUCCCCCGCCUGAUUAUGAUAUUGUUGAUGAAAACUUGAAUUUUCAUAGGCUGCUGUUAUUGAUGAAAUUUCAGAAUUCAGAAAUUCAGAAGGACCCUAGUCGUGGUUGAGCAUGAACAAGAGCAUUAUUGGGUGUAGUUGCUGAAGAGGUGCAUGUUUGUAGUAAAGCCGCCGCAAAUGAUGUAGUAUAAGAAAUUCUCGUGCAAGCGAAGAACUCGAGACGCGUCGAUAUAUAAUGGUUUUACGGAGCUAAUUAUCGAAGAUGCAUCUCUUGGAACCUUAGACAAGAUUAGACCGGAAGACUUUCAUUUGUUUCAACAAUCAUCGCUACCACAUAGAACUAAAUUAGCGCAAGCCAAGAGGUUAAAUAAUCCCGAUCACCCCUGUAAAGUUCUGGUUGCUAUCGAUAAUUGGCAUGGGAUUGAAUCUAAAUAUUGGCUGCGUUAUAUUUCGGUAAUUACCCAGUCUCAAGAAAACUUUGCCCGAAAAACGGUUUACCAAUGCAAAUUUUUGAAACGGGUCAAGUUUCAGUUCAAUUUUGCGAGACCACGGGCACACGAACAACUAGCGUCAUAUAGUAUAGUCGUAUCAGAAAAAAUUUUUGACCCACCCAAAUUUGAAAGACAAAAGACGGAGAUUUUAUUCCACACAAGAGGUGCAACAGUGAGAGUAUAAGAUGACGAACAGAGAAAACAAUACGAAAACUAAAUUUUUAAAUUUCCUAAUCAAGAAAAAAAACGAAAGGAGACUUAUAAAAUCUCGAAGGUGCCACAGAGGGGCUUGAUCCCUGAGAGAUUUUUAAAAUUCUUAUUUUAAAAAGCCGAAGGCUUACCGCCUUUUAAGGGUGAGAGAUUUCAAGAAACAAAAGUUCAGACAGCGCUCCAAAUAGUCUUAACUGUGAGAGGUCCCUGGGGAAUUGGGGCGAUUCGUGAUUGGUGGAAGGGGUUUUCGGGACCGUGAAGCUUUCCUGCUGCUCCGAUCCCGACGCGACUAAUCUCAUUCGAUGUAGAAUGACUUUUUACAUAGGUAAUGACUAAAUAUUUCAAGUAUUAACGAAAAUAACGAGAGAUUGGGAGCAAAAAGGGGAAAAAAAUGGGAAACUUCUAAAAUAGAUUGCAUAUACGAUUCCACAAAAUUAAAGAGUCCAAUUAGUUCUAAUGGAAAGAACAACUUUCCGUUUAACCGAAAAGACUAAAUUUGCAUUACUUAUUUUGUGGUUCGCGAGAUAUCUGCGAAAGAAAAAGACACCCAGAUUGACUUUUAGCUUGAUUGUUGACUAGCAGACGACGGUAAUUUUUAACAGGCUAACAGUCAAUCUGCUUGUGGCAUGGCGAAUUGAUUGAUUGAAUGUUUGUGAUAGAUUUCAUCCUCGUGAAACACUGUGUUUAUAUUUCAUAUGUAAAUCGAAUAACUUUUGCUGAAUUCUAAUAAGAAAAAAAAACCAUGCAUCCAGUAUCACAACUGAUGGUUCCUUUACCCAUCAAAUGCCAGAUUGGCCGAUAGUUCAAAUGUGGGUGCUGAAUGAACUGGUAAACGUAAGAAAUGGAAUUGACAAUUAUCUUUAUCAUCAGACAUUGCUACCUUUCAGAAAAUAUGUCUUGAAGAUGACGACAAGUUGCCAGUUGAUUCAUAUGUCUCACUUACUGAUAUCCUAGCACACCAUACUUUAUUCGGCAUGCAAAACAAACUUUCAUUUCUGGCUUUCCCUCACUUAAAAGAUGUACUCUAAAGGAAGAUUGUGGUCCCUUAAAAUUUUUGACAUUUCAAGUGUAUUGAAAAAGUAAUGAACGUGGUGUCCAAUGUGAUUUACUAUCUGGAGAAUAAAGACAUUUUGCUAUUACUA